UUGGAGCAGAGCUUCUACGGGAUAAAUGUGGUUUUUUUCUGACUCAUAGGAAUCAUCACUCCAACAAAACCUUCACUGGGUCUCCCUUCUGACGGUGCAAUAUUGCUACAAGCCUUCAUUUCCACAUCCGGGGAAAGGAGCAGUCGUAAGGCAGUCUCCAAUCAGUAACCAGCCCUAAAUAGGAGAGAGGAAGGGGCCAGAUAGAAGAAGUCCAUGAGUGAAGUGACAUCCACAGAAGCUAAAAAAACAAGUGGAAAGAAAUGCCCCCAUGACUGUUAGCUGUUGCAUCAUCAACAGAUGGCGUUUGCUUUCCUCUCCCGCUUUCCUGAAGGUUCUCCUGUAAAGCCCCUGGCCAGAAAUUUGGUUUGCAACAGGGAAGAACAGCCCCAGACCCUCAUGAAAAGGACUCUACCUGGUAUUUUUGACAACUGAUAUUUCAUGGAAUAGACCUAGGAGCUGGUAUCGCUUAGAAAAUUGUCAGAGGGACACAGGAUUUCCAGGAUGCUUUUGAAUUCGUUACGAGAUAAUUUAUGAAAGCCAAGAAUCAAUUAAGAAUGACUGGAUGGCAGUUCCCAUCGUGGCUCAGCGGAAACAAAUCCAGCUAGGCACCAUGAGGUUGAGGCUUCAAUCCCUGGCCUUUCUCAGUGGAUUAAGGAUCUGGCAUUGCCAAGAGCUGUGAUAUAGGCUGCAGACGGGGCUUGGAUCUGGCGUUGCUGUGGCUAUGGUGUAGGCUGGCAGCUAUAGCUCUGAUUCAAUCCCAUAUGCCUCUAGUGUGGCCCUCAAAAGC
rnacentral:lncRNA from 1 species